CUACGUAGGGGGCAAGCGUUAUCCGGAUUUACUGGGUGUAAAGGGAGUGUAGGCGGUCUGGCAAGUCUGAUGUGAAACUCCGCAGCUCAACUGCGGAACUGCAUUGGAAACUGUCAGACUAGAGUGCAGGAGAGGAAAGUGGAAUUCCUAGUGUAGCGGUGAAAUGCGUAGAUAUUAGGAAGAACACCAGUGGCGAAGGCGGCUUUCUGGACUGUAACUGACGCUGAGGCUCGAAAGCGUGGGGAGCAAACAGGAUUAGAUACCCUGGUAGUCACGCCGUAAACGAUGAAUACUAGGUGUCGGGUGGCAAAGCCAUUCGGUGCCGCAGCUAACGCAAUAAGUAUUCCACCUGGGGAGUACGUUCGCAAGAAUGAAACUCAAAUGAAUUGACGGGG
rnacentral:rRNA from 1 species